GACGAACGCUGGCGGCGUGCUUAACACAUGCAAGUCGAACGGAAAGGCCCUGCUUUUGUGGGGUGCUCGAGUGGCGAACGGGUGAGUAACACGUGAGUAACCUGCCCUUGACUUUGGGAUAACUUCAGGCAACUGGGGCUAAUACCGGAUAGGAGCUCCUGCUGCAUGGUGGGGGUUGGAAAGUUUCGGCGGUUGGGGAUGGACUCGCGGCUUAUCAGCUUGUUGGUGGGGUAGUGGCUUACCAAGGCUUUGACGGGUAGCCGGCCUGAGAGGGUGACCGGCCACAUUGGGACUGAGAUACGGCCCAGACUCCUACGGGAGGCAGCAGUGGGGAAUAUUGCACAAUGGGCGGAAGCCUGAUGCAGCAACGCCGCGUGCGGGAUGACGGCCUUCGGGUUGUAAACCGCUUUCGCCUGUGACGAAGCGUGAGUGACGGUAAUGGGGAAAGAAGCACCGGCUAACUACGU
rnacentral:rRNA from 1 species